AGCUCUAAAUGACCCUUUUCUCUGUAUGGAAAGCAGUUAGCCUCAGAAGCUCCCGUAAUUACUGUUAUGCCACUCCGGUCUCUUCAGCUGAAAACCUCCUUGAUUUACUCCGUCUCUCACUCACCCACAAGUCUCUCAAACUCACUCAACAAUGCCAUGCUCGAAUUCUCUCUCUUGGUUUCACUCAAAACCCCUUUUUGGCCACCAAACUCAUUUCUGCGUAUGCUAUAUUCGGCGUCCCAGCUCUGUCCCAACUCGUUUUUGACUCGAUACAUUUCAAGAGUGUUUACCUAUGGAACUCGCUGAUUAAUGGGUUUGUAAAAAAUCGUGCUUAUAAUGAAGCUUUUGGUUGGUUUUAUCAAAUGUGUUGCCGUGGUGUUUUGCUUGAUGACUAUACCUUUGCAACAAUGUCAAAAGUUUGCCACGAGAUUGGUGACUUGAAUGCAGGGAAAUUGAUUCAUGGGAAAAUUUUAAAAACUGGGUUUGUUUUGGAUGUUAUAGUUGCCAAUUCUCUUAUGUCAAUGUAUAGCAAAUGUGGGGGAUUUGUAGAAUGUUUGAAACUAUUUGAUGAAAUGCCUGAGAGAAAUGUCGGUUCUUGGAAUGUUAUUCUAUCGGGUUAUGCGGAUUCAGGGGAUCGUAAUUUUGAUAAGGAGGUUUCAGGUUUUGUUAAAGACAUGCAGAUUGAGGGGUUAAAACCCGAUGCAUUUACAGUUUCCAGUCUUUUGACUCUGUGUAAUGGGCAUAUGGGGAAAAGGGACCAUGGGAGGGAGCUUCAUGGGUUUAUAGUGAGAAUUGAAUUGGCCGUGGGUUCUGGUACAGAAGUUCAUUUGGGAUGCUGUUUGAUUGAUAUGUACUCGAGGAGUAGUAGAGUUGAUGUGGGUAGAAGGGUUUUUGAUAGAAUGGAGUGUAGAAAUGUUUAUGCUUGGACAGCAAUGAUCAAUGGUUAUGUGCAGAAUGGAGCUCUAGAAGAAGGACUGGUUCUUUUUCAUGAAAUGCAGGUGAGGGAUGGAGUAGAACCUAAUAAGGUGUCGCUUGUGAGUGUUCUUCCUGCUUGUAGCGCGGUUGCUGGUUUAACUGGAGUGAAACAAAUUCAUGGAUAUGCCAUUAGGAAGCAAUUCAAUAAUGAUGUUUCUUUAUGCAAUGCUUUGAUUGACAUGUAUUCCAAGUGUGGGAGCUUGGAUCAUGCAAAACAAGUCUUCGAGUUUGGUUCUUUUCUUAGGGAUCCGAUAUCUUGGAGUUCAAUGAUUUCUGGCUAUGGAUUGCACGGGAAGGGAGAGGAAGCUGUCUUUGUAUACAACAAGAUGCUUCAGCUUGGGAAUAAACCAGACAUGAUAACAAUAGUAGGGAUUCUUUCUGCUUGUAGUCGGGCUGGAUUGGUAGAUGAAGGCUUGUGCAUCUACAAGUCUGCAAUAAAUAAAUAUAGAAUUAAGCCAACUGUUGAGAUUUGUGCUUGUGUUGUGGAUAUGUUAGGCCGAACAGGCCAGCUUGGCCAAGCUUUAGAUUAUAUUAAAACUAUGCCAAUGGAACCUAGUCCAAGUGUUUGGGGGGCUCUUGUUAGUGCUUCCAUAAUCCAUGGAAAUUCUGAGAUGCAGGAUCUGGCUUAUAGGUUCCUUGUUCAGUUAGAACCUGAAAACCCUUCGAAUUAUGUCUCGCUUUCAAAUCUACAUGCGUCUUCCAGGAGAUGGGAUGUAGUAUCUGAGGUGAGAACAAUGAUGAAAGAUAGAUGCUUAACAAAAACUCCUGGGUGCAGUUGGAUAAGCAUUAAUAACACUACUCAUUUUUUCUAUGCUGCUGAUAAACUGCAUCCUUGUUCCAAGUCAAUCUAUGAACUGCUGGGUGGCCUCAUAUUACUGAUGAAAGGACCUGCUGUUUCUCAUGAUUUUGAAAAUUUUACAUGGGUGUCUUGAUAUUGAUCUUCUGUUAUCUGUCUCCCUUUACUAUUGAGGAUAUCUUGUCUAAACCAUAUGGUGCCACAAAUAUGCAUUCACUAAACGAAGGAUCGAGACUUGUAUGCUGUCCAUACCUCUGGAAAUGUUUGCUGAAAAAUUUGUCAUUCAGGUGGAUUUUGCAUGCAUUCUUAAACUGGCCAAACUUAUUUCAAGUUUAGCUGUGUGGAUUGGUAGUUUGGACAGAGACCAUUCUAGUUCCUCGCUCAUUUCUUCAACAAAUUAUUGAAACGAAAGGAGUGCGGC